rnacentral:lncRNA from 1 species
AUAGAAUGGACUGAGGUGCAACCGUUGCUUGACCUGGGGAAGGUGAAUGUUCUUACUCACAGCAGUUUUCAGCAGACAAUCAAGACUAAGACAAGGACCUGCCUCCAAGAGUUGUAAAGAUGAGGAAAUGUGUGGUCUCCGUGCGUGAAGCAAUACAUGCUGAAAAUAACUGCAUUCAAAGAGCUGCUGAGAUGAGAGGAGAACUCAUGAGAACUCAAAGGAGGCAGAGGACAAGAUUAAAGCCAAGUGUUCUGAGGAGCACACUUUGUGAGGGCUGCCUUAGGAAAAGCCAGGGACACCAAGUGUGGUCAUCCGACCCAGAAGGGAAGAGCAGGGCUCUGAACAGGACCUGAACAGGAGCUAAGCCACAGGUGAGCAGCAAGGUCUGAA